ACAUACAUGUUUAGUUGUUCAAAAAAUUGACGAACUCCUGAAGAUGCUCCGAAAAGAGCGAAACCGGUAGAGUGAUAAUAAACACAUUUCACCUUUAA